GCCGGCUAAACUGCUGUUCUGCAUCUCUGAAGAGUGACUCAGUGCAGGACGUUAGAACCGAGAGUCAAAUCUGUAUGCGGCGGUAGUGUUCUCUAAAGCUGCCGCUAACCGCCAAUAUUUAAUACAUGAAGCGACAUUUAAAAGGAGGAAGCGGAUCAUGAGGCACCAGUCAUUCGUUUGUCCGCCUCGACUGUAACGUCUCUGGUGGUACUGGUCACCUUCAACAAGUGGAUCCACUCCUAGACAAAGCUUCGAUUGGGUCCAGAGAGGUAUUUACAGUGACGCCGCUCAGUAUAGACCGGACUUGAAUCAGGUGCUGGUCUUCCUGCAGACAUCAUCUGCCUUCUACCCGUGAUGUCAUUUUGUUGUAUUUCUGUUAAAAUCAGAACUUUUUAUAAUGCUUAAUAUUGUAUUUGUGUAUUUGCUGUGAUUAAUGAAAUAAAACCGUCUAUUAAAUUAGUUUCUUCACUUUCCUACAAACACUUAACCAGAGUACGGGACUGUUAAUUAUUUAAAUGAUGUUUUGGGGUUGUCACGGUGACAUGAAUGUUUGAUUAUCCUGUAGACUGACUCUCAGCAUUAUGAGCAAGUGUAAAUUAAAUGAUAUAAUAUAAACUCAUGAACACAAGAUGUUUAACGUUAGUCUCUUUAAUGUGUUUGCAUUGAUAAAAUACUUAUUGGCUACCUGCAAAAAACUUGUGUAAGUAUAACUUAACACAGGUGUGAGAGGGGCCUUUGAAAUAUUUUGCAAAUUAUUGAAUACUUUUAAAAUGCAAUAUACUGUACAUCAAAUGGUUACAUUUUAAACUAUGGUCUCUUAAAUCUAAAUAUGGAAGCGGUCAUAGUGCUAUGAAAUUCGACAUAUACAUAGAAAUGUAACUUCGAGAGGUUUAAAAUAUGGAGUAUUUGGUAUUGUGCACAUUGUUGCAAGCUUUAAAACAUUGGGUUAAACCUGGAAAGUGCUGACUGCAUAAGCUAUGGAACAGUUUUUAAAUACAAAUAAAAGUUACUGUGGAGGAUCCAAUGUACUGUAUGAUCUGUCCGACGAGCAAAACAGACGCUGGAAACCGACACUUUCAGCCCUGGGGUCGCUUAAUGUCCAAUGGUGUAUGUGUAUUUAUAUAUACUUUAUUAAUACACGAGUAUAACAUCCCAAAAUUCACAUAACCUGAGGACUAUUGGCUGGGACCUAUAAAGUGAAUCCACAGGGUAAAUAUCCGUGUCCGGAUGGAAAAGAAACUACAAAAAC